UUAAGCUCAAGAGCAUAGAGGGACAAAUUCAGAUAAGGGAAAAGAGAAAGUAAUCGAAUAGCCGUUGUAAUCGUUCAGCAACAUUCGAGAUCGUUGACUCUUACUAUUAGCUCGGGGAUCGUCAGCACUUCGUCACACUAUCUACUAUUGUAGUAAUCAUGUGAUUUGGACUUAGCUUAUGGCAUGUAUAGGAUAGACUAUAAGUAGAAUGAUAUUUUGACUAUUGUAUAUAAGCCAUGCGAAUAUGGCAUCUUAUGGAAGUUUACUUUUAUAAGUUUUAAAUUCGAUCUUUGUUUGUGUCUAUUAGUUAUAUAAAUAAAUGAUCUUAUAUUUAAGAAAA